rnacentral:rRNA from 1 species
UACGUAGGUGGCAAGCGUUGUCCGGAUUUACUGGGCGUAAAGAGCGCGCAGGCGGUCGGAUAAGUCGAAUGUGAAAGCCCCCGGCUCAACUGGGGAGGGUCAUUCGAUACUGUUCGACUCGAAGGCAGGAGAGGGAAGUGGAAAUCCCGGUGUAGUGGUGAAAUGCGUAGAUAUCGGGAGGAACACCAGUGGCGAAGGCGGCUCUCUGGGACGGUACUGACGCUGAGACGCGAAAGCGUGGGGAGCGAACAGG